AAACUGUUUAACCGGAUCCCAUUGUACCCAGAGUGCAGAGCCGCCUUUCCAGCAUGCAGGGGCUGCUCAGCGUUUAGUCACAUCAAGAAAUAGAACAGAAUUCAGCCAUGGCCCCAAGAAAGAGAGGUGGACGAGGUAUUUCAUUCAUCUUUUGCUGUUUCCGAAAUAAUGAUCACCCAGAAAUCACGUAUCGGCUGCGAAAUGAUAGCAACUUUGCGCUUCAGACCAUGGAACCAGCAUUGCCCAUGCCCCCUGUGGAGGAGCUGGAUGUCAUGUUCAGUGAACUGGUGGAUGAACUGGACCUCACAGACAAACACAGAGAAGCCAUGUUUGCACUUCCAGCUGAGAAAAAAUGGCAAAUAUACUGUAGCAAGAAAAAGGUAAGAUUUUCAUUGUGAUUAUGGUUAACUGGAAAAUAAUCAUUGAUUCCAUUUGCUCUUCCAUUUCACCACUAGAAUUGGACAGCUCUUUGUAAUAUGAAAACCAGAUUGAAUGUGUUAUGUUGUGGCUGUGGUGCUACAUGUAGCCAGUGUCAAUUCCCUGGAUGUUGUUUUUGUCAGUACUUCAUUGGGCUCUUUUCCA
rnacentral:lncRNA from 1 species